AGGCUGAAGACCUUACCCGAUUAGCUGAGAGGUGGUGCAUGGCCGUCGUCAGUUCGUACUGUGAAGCAUCCUGUUAAGUCAGGCAACGAGCGAGACCCACGUCCACAGUUGCCAGCAUACCCUCCGGGGUGAUGGGUACACUGUGGAGACCGCCGCUGCUAAAGCGGAGGAAGGAGUGGGCAACGGUAGGUCAGUAUGCCCCGAAUCUCCCGGGCUACACGCGGGCUACAAUGGUUGGUACAAUGGGCAUCUACCCCGAAAGGGGAAGGAAAUCUCUUAAAGCCAAUCGUAGUUCGGAUUGAGGGCUGCAACUCGCCCUCAUGAAGCUGGAAUCCGUAGUAAUCGCGUUUCAACAGAACGCGGUGAAUACGUCCCUGCUCCUU
rnacentral:rRNA from 1 species